rnacentral:tRNA from 1 species
GUGUCUGUAGCUUAGUGGUAAAGUAUCUGGUUGUGAUCCAGAGGACUCGGAUUCGAUUUCCGACAGACACC